rnacentral:rRNA from 1 species
GCAAGUCGAGGGGCGAGCGUGUGGUUGCUUGCAACCAAUGAUGGCGACCGGCGCACGGGUGAGUAACGCGUAUCCAACUUCCCCUUAGUAGAGGAUAGCCCGGCGAAAGUCGGAUUAAUACUCUAUGUUCUUCAAUGCGGACAUCUAAGUUGAAGCAAAGAUUUAUCGCUAAGGGAUGGGGAUGCGUCUGAUUAGGUUGCAGGCGGGGUAACGGCCCACCUGGCCUACGAUCAGUAGGGGUUCUGAGAGGAAGGUCCCCCACACUGGUACUGAGACACGGACCAGACUCCUACGGGAGGCAGCAGUGAGGAAUAUUGGUCAAUGGGCGCGAGCCUGAACCAGCCAAGUAGCGUGCAAGGACGACUGCCCUAUGGGUUGUAAACUGCUUUUAUCAGGGAAUAAAGCGAGGCACGCGUGCCUUUUUGUAUGUACCUGAUGAAUAAGGACCGGCUAAUUCCGUGCCAGCCGCGGC